GGGCGGUCACUCCACUAUAUGACCGGACGUACAUAAAAGAAGGAGGAUAAUAACCGUGAGCUCGCGGUGCGGCAGCGUGGAGACCUGUCGUAAUGCGGUGCAUCUCAUCGAAGAUGCCGCGAGGCGAUUUGGAGGUGUCCUUAUCGUCAGAGCUUAGUUAAAUGUC
rnacentral:ncRNA from 1 species